rnacentral:rRNA from 1 species
GUGUCAGCAGCCGCGGUAAGACAGAGGUGCCGAGCGUUAGGCGGAAUCACUGGGCUUAAAGCGUGUGUAGGCGGGAUUGUAAGUACCUUGUGAAAUCCCACGGCUUAACCGUGGAACUGCUUGGUAUACUGCGAUUCUUGAGCCACUUAGGGGCUACCGGAACAAAUGGUGGAGCGGUGAAAUGCGUAGAUAUCAUUUGGAACGCCAAUGGUGAAAACAGGUAGCUGGGAGUGUGCUGACGCUGAGACACGAAAGCCAGGGGAGCGAACGGGAUUAGAAACCCUCGUAGUCC